rnacentral:rRNA from 1 species
UACGUAGGGGGCAAGCGUUGUCCGGAAUUAUUGGGCGUAAAGGGCGCGUAGGCGGCCCGGUAAGUCAAAGGUGAAAUCCCUCGGCUCAACUGAGGAACUGCCUUUGAAACUGUCGGGCUUGAGGCCGGGAGGGGGUAGCGGAAUUCCCAGUGUAGCGGUGAAAUGCGUAGAUAUUGGGAGGAACACCAGUGGCGAAGGCGGCUACCUGGACCGGUUCUGACGCUGAUGCGCGAAAGCGUGGGUAGCAAACAGG